rnacentral:rRNA from 1 species
UACGUAGGGCGCGAGCGUUGUCCGGAUUUAUUGGGCGUAAAGGGCUUGUAGGCGGCUUGUCACGUCGGAUGUGAAAACCCGUGGCUCAACUGCGGGCUUGCAUUCGAUACGGGCUGGCUAGAGUACGGCAGGGGAGACUGGAAUUCCUGGUGUAGCGGUGGAAUGCGCAGAUAUCAGGAGGAACACCGGUGGCGAAGGCGGGUCUCUGGGCCGACACUGACACUGAGAGACGAAAGCUAGGGGAGCAAAUGGG